UGCCAGGCGGUGUCAAAGCUUAGGGGAAACCCCUACAGACAUUCCUGAAAUAACAUGGCGAACUAUACGAUCGGAAAAAUCAAAAUAGAACAAGAAAUUGGCAAGUUUCUCGUCGUACAAUUUCAAUCAAUGGCCAUAACGCGUGCUAUGAUCACUGUCGAUAUUGUGCAGUUUUUCAAAGCGAUUUGGAACAGGUUAGAGCACAAAAUAAGGCACUUAUUUUACGUGCAAAAUGAAGACUAACAUGUAAACAUCAUAUACAGAUUUGUGGGGGUAAAGCAAACUAUUGUGCAAAAGCGCAAGAAGCGCGUGUUUGCAUCAAGUUUACGAUAAUUUUGCAUGAAUGAUGAAGCUAGUAUGGGGGGUUUCUAAUUUCGUAGUCUAAUGCAAACGUGAAAAUGGAACAAUGUUGCUCUAGUCAUGUAUAAUAAUAUUAUAAUUUUUUUUGAAAGAAUACCAAAUAAACUGUAGUUUAAGAUUUGUGGGACGUUAAUUUUCUUAAUACAUUUCGUUAAAUCGGUAAACAUAGUUGAGGAGCACAGAAACCUUAUACUAUUUACUAGUAGGAUUUUAUGUCAGCCAAAUUUUCUAUUACUCGAAUUUGAUACGAUGCGCGUGCGCGGCGGCCAUGCUGUCUCAGAUUUCUGGCCAUGUGUUUUCAUUCA